GUGUUAGUAGCAUAUUCGGUUAAUGUGCCGCACUGUGAAUGCGGAGAACAGGGUUCAAUUCCCGCUAACACCCA
rnacentral:tRNA from 1 species